rnacentral:rRNA from 1 species
GCCAGCCCGCUCAGAAACUUAAAGGAAGUUGACGGGGCCCGCGACAAGCGGUGGAGCAUGUGGUUAAUUCGAAGCAACGCGAAGAACCUUACCAGGCCUUGACAUGCAGAGAACUUUCCAGAGAUGGAUUGGUGCCUUCGGGAACUCUGACACAGGUGCUGCAUGGCUGUCGUCAGCUCGUAUCGUGAGAUGUUGGGUUAAGUCCCGUAACGAGCGCAACCCUUGUCCUUAGUUACCAGCACGUUAUGGUGGGCACUCUAAGGAGACUGCCGGUGACAAACCGGAGGAAGGUGGGGAUGACGUCAAGUCAUCAUGGCCCUUACGGCCUGGGCUACACACGUGCUACAAUGGUCGGUACAAAGGGUUGCCAAGCCGCGAGGUGGAGCUAAUCCCAUAAAACCGAUCGUAGUCCGGAUCGCAGUCUGCAACUCGACUGCGUGAAGUCGGAAUCGCUAGUAAUCGUGAAUCAGAAUGUCACGGUGAAUACGUUCCCGGGCCUU